GAGUUUGAGGGUUGUGCUGGCCUUGCAGGCAUGUGCACGCCUCGCUCAUCCAACUCACACCUGUGCACCUCUUGUAGGCUGGUUCGAUUGGGUCUUGUUGAUCCCUUCGGGCCUUUCUAUGUUUUUACAAACACUUGUCUGUAUAGAAUGUCCUUGCGCGAACAACGCAUUAAUAUAACUUUCAGCAACGGAUCUCUUGGCUCUCGCAUCGAUGAAGAACGCAGCGAAUUGCGAUAAGUAAUGUGAAUUGCAGAAUUCAGUGAAUCAUCGAAUCUUUGAACGCACCUUGCACCCUUUGGUAUUCCGAAGGGUAUGCCUGUUUGAGUGUCAUGGUAUUCUCAAACCCUCCUUUGCUUUUGUGAAGCAGGGCUUGGACUUUGGAGGUCUUUUUGCGGGUUUCUCCCCUCUCGGGGAGUUCCGCUCCUCUUAAAUGCAUUAGCUGGAACCUUUUGCGUGCUGGCUUUGGUGUGANAAUUAUCUGCGCCGUANCCGGUGAGCAUUGAUUGUUGGCUCCGCUUCUAACUGUCCUCCUUUCGGACAAAACUUUGACAUCUGGCCUCAAAUCAGGUAGGACUACCCGC
rnacentral:rRNA from 1 species